UACGAUCUUAACCAGUAGAAAAUAAUACAAUGGUCUAAAGACUAUGUAUAAAAUUGUAUAAAACGCUAUCUGUGUUACCCUAUAUAUAUAUAUAUAUAUAUAUAUAUAUACAUUUAGCCAGUGUCCCAGUCAUAAUUUGUAAAAGCAUUAUAUUGAUCGAUUAAAAAUAUUCAAGUUUUAACGGUGCCCUUGUACUGUGAACUCAAUCUAAUGGUCGAACUUAUCAAUGACCUAUUUGUUCACAAAAAUGCAAUUAGGGUUUCCUUCAAGUUAUGUACAUGUUUCUUAAACCUAUGAUCUCCUGAUUCUUUUUUCACAAGCAACAAGAGUACAAUGAUAACUGAUAAAACCUUUUAUCAAAGAAAUGAACGGAUACGUGGGAGACAUGUAGAAGGAAUUGUUGAGCAGGCAUGGAUGACUUUUCUUUUCCUUCUUUUUUCCCCCCGUCACACUAAGCCACCGGGCGAGGAUAACAAAGUAUUCUUACUUUUCCUCUUUGAAUGAAAUAACAUUUACCAUAUGAUAAUCAAGUCAAAUAAAGCACGAGAUGCUUUGCCAAAAAUU
rnacentral:lncRNA from 1 species